CGACAUCGAACAUGAAAAAUAUGUGGGAUUUGACAUGUUCGAUUUGUUGGUUAACAAAUCAAACAUGUCAAAUCCCAUAUAUUUUUUCAUGUCCGAUGUCG
rnacentral:pre_miRNA from 1 species